rnacentral:rRNA from 1 species
AUUGAACGCUGGCGGCAGGCCUAUCACUUGCCAGUCGAGCGAGCGGCGGACGGGUGAGUAAUGUAUGGGUAUCUGCCCGAUAGAGGGGUAUAACUACUGGCAACGGUGCCUAAUACCUCAUACUAUCGGAUGAACCCAUAUGGGAUUGGCUAGUAGGUGGGGUAAAGGCUCACCUAGGCGACGAGCUCUAGCUGGUCUGAGAGGAUGAUCAGCAAGACUGGGACUGAGACACGGUCCAGACUCCUACGGGAGGCAGCAGGGGGGAAUAUGGCACAAUGGGCGCAAGCCUGAUGCAGCCAUGCCGCGUGUAGGAAGAAGGAAUUAGGGUGGUAAAGUACUUUCAGCGGGGAGGCGUUACCCGCAGAAGAAGCACCGGCUAACUCCGUGCCAGCAGCCGCGGUAAUAC